rnacentral:rRNA from 1 species
CCUACGGGAGGCAGCAGUGGGGGAUAUUGCACAAUGGAGGGAACUCUGAUGCAGCGACGCCGCGUGAGGGAAGAAGGUUUUCGGAUUGUAAACCUCUUUUGUCGGGGAGCAAAAGCCGGACGUGUCCGGCUGUGAGAGUACCCGAAGAAAAAGCAUCGGCUAACUCCGUGCCAGCAGCCGCGGUAAUACGGAGGAUGCGAGCGUUAUCCGGAUUUAUUGGGUUUAAAGGGUGCGCAGGCGGAUUUUUAAGUCAGCGGUCAAAUCGUGGGGCUCAACCCCAUCCAGCCGUUGAAACUGGGGAUCUAGAGUGUGCGAGAGGUAUGCGGAAUGCGUGGUGUAGCGGUGAAAUGCAUAGAUAUCACGCAGAACCCCGAUUGCGAAGGCAGCAUACCGGUGCACAACUGACGCUGAGGCACGAAAGCGUGGGUAUCGAACAGGAUUAGAUACCCGUGUAGUC